UACGUAGGGCGCGAGCGUUGUCCGGAUUUAUUGGGCGUAAAGAGCUCGUAGGCGGCUUGGCGCGUCGUCCGUGAAAACCUGCAGCUCAACUGCAGGCUUGCGGUCGAUACGGGCAGGCUAGAGUUCGGUAGGGGAGACUGGAAUUCCUGGUGUAGCGGUGAAAUGCGCAGAUAUCUGGAGGAACACCGGUGGCGAAGGCGGCAUCCUGGACCAACACUGACACUGAGGAGCGAAAGCCAGGGGAGCAAACGGG
rnacentral:rRNA from 1 species